GGGGAAGUACUCAAGUGGCUAAAGAGGCGCCCCUGCUAAGGGUGUAGGCCGGUUUCGCCGGCGCGAGGGUUCAAAUCCCUCCUUCUCCG
rnacentral:tRNA from 1 species